GGGCCAUAGCUCAGUGGUAGAGUAUUUGCCUUGCAUACAGAAGGUCCCAGGUUCAUCUCCAGGUGGUAUCU